CGUUGAAAAGCUCCACUCGACCUCCUCUGUCUGUGCGAAGAUCUUUAUGCUGAGGGAACUUGUCACUAGGUAACUACGGAGUAUUAUUCGGGAUAUUACGAGUUACUAGGUACUAGUAGUAAAAAUCACAGCUAGUUACUACUCUUCAGACGAUACUAUUAUGUCCAAGUUUUUAUUUGACGCUAUCACAAACCAAAUAAUCCUUCGAGAAGUCUUCACGAGGAAUUGCGUGAACUCGGCAGCAGCAAUAAUCCCGGGAGGCUAUGAUACAGCCAUUUCAGCUCCCCUGGCCAACUGGCCAGGACGUUAGCUUUAUUGUCAUCAAAACUGUUUGGGCAUUCC
rnacentral:sRNA from 1 species